rnacentral:rRNA from 1 species
GUGUCAGCCGCCGCGGUAAUACAGAGGUGCCAAGCGUUGUUCGGAUUUAUUGGGCGUAAAGGGUGCGUAGGUGGUGAUGCAAGUCGGGUGUGAAAUCCCGGAGCCUAACUCCGGAAUGGCAUUCGAAACUGCAUCGCUCGAGGUCUGGAGAGGUGACUGGAAUUCUCGGUGUAGCAGUGAAAUGCGUAGAUAUCGAGAGGAACACCAGAGGCGAAAGCGAGUCACUGGACAGAACCUGACACUGAGGCACGAAAGCCAGGGGAGCAAACGGGAUUAGAAACCCCGGUAGUCC